rnacentral:rRNA from 1 species
UACGUAGGUGGCAAGCGUUGUCCGGAUUUAUUGGGUUUAAAGGGUGCGUAGGCGGCCCUGUAAGUCAGUGGUGAAAUACUCUAGCUUAACUAGAGGGGUGCCAAUGAUACUGCAGGGCUUGAGUACAGAUGAGGUAGGCGGAAUUGACGGUGUAGCGGUGAAAUGCUUAGAUAUCGUCAAGAACACCGAUAGCGAAGGCAGCUUACUAGACUGUAACUGACGCUGAUGCACGAAAGUGUGGGGAUCAAACAGG